rnacentral:rRNA from 1 species
AAUCUUGCGCAAUGGGCGAAAGCCUGACGCAGCCAUGCCGCGUGAAUUAUGAAGGUCUUAGGAUUGAAAAAUUCUUUCACCGGGGACGAUAAUGACGGUAACCGGAGAAGAAGCCCCGGCUAACUUCGUGCCAGCAGCCGCGGUAAUACGAAGGGGGCUAGCGUUGCUCGGAAUUAUUGGGCGUAAAGGGCGCGGCGGCGGACAUUUCAGUAAGGGGUGAAAUCCCAGAGCUCACCUCUGGAACUGCCUUUGAUACUGGGUGUCUUGAGUGUGAGAGAGGUAUGUGGAACACCGAGUGUAGAGGUGAAAUUCGUAGAUAUUCAGAAGAACACCAGUGGCGAAGGCGACAUACUGGCUCAUUACUGACGCUGAGGCGCGAAAGCGUGGGGAGCAAACAGG